rnacentral:rRNA from 1 species
UACGGGGGGGGCAAGCGUUGUUCGGAAUUACUGGGCGUAAAGGGCUCGUAGGUGGCCAACUAAGUCAGACGUGAAAUCCCUCGGCUUAACCGGGGAACUGCGUCUGAUACUGGAUGGCUUGAGUUUGGGAGAGGGACGCGGAAUUCCAGGUGUAGCGGUGAAAUGCGUAGAUAUCAUCUGGAACGCCAAUGGUGAAAACAGCUCGCUGGGGGUUUGCAGACGCUGAGACACGAAAGCCAGGGGAGCGAACGGG